rnacentral:tRNA from 1 species
UGGAGCUGGGGCCAAUCCGUCUCACUCGUAAUGAGAAGGUCGCCAGUUCGACUCUGGCAGGAGGCUCCA